rfam:Triticum aestivum genome assembly, contig: Triticum_aestivum_CS42_TGACv1_scaffold_061348_1DL
GCUCUACUCCCUCCGUCCCAGAAUUCUUGUCUUAAAUUUGUCUAAGUACGGAUGUAUCAAGUAACGUUUUAGUAUUAGAUGCAUCCGUAUCUAGACAAGCGUAAGACAAGAAUUUUGGGACGGGGGGAGUAAUAC